rnacentral:ncRNA from 1 species
CUUAAUGUCUGCUAAGAGGGAAGCAGGUGGAAGGCCUGAACGAACCCGUCGCUGUAUAGGAAUAGUCCGUCCAACGCUUGUGCCGUGUAAAAGUCACUGGGUUAUUUUCCCGGGAAGACGUGGAUGGGUGCCAUGUCCUGAGUCAGAAGACCUACCCUAUGUAAAUA